rnacentral:rRNA from 1 species
AACCUCCGCAAUGUGAGAAAUCGCGACGGGGGGAUCCCAAGUGCCAUUCUUAACGGGAUGGCUUUUCAUUAGUGUAAAGAGCUUUUGGAAUAAGGGCUGGGCAGACCGGUGCCAGCCGCCGCGGUAACACCGGCAGCUCUAGUGGUAGCAGUUUUUAUUGGGCCUAAAGCGUCCGUAGCCGGUUUAAUAAGUCUCUGGUGAAAUCCUGUAGCUUAACUGUGGGAAUUGCUGGAGAUACUAUUAGACUUGAGACCGGGAGAGGUUAGAGGUACUCCCAGGGUAGAGGUGAAAUUCUGUAAUCCUGGGAGGACCGCCUGUUGCGAAGGCGUCUAACUGGAACGGUUCUGACGGUGAGGGACGAAAGUUAGGGGCGCGAACCGGAUUAGAUACCCGGGUAGUCCUAACUGUAAACGAUGCGGACUUGGUGUUGGGGUGGCUUUGAGCUGCUCCAGUGCCGAAGGGAAGCUGUUAAGUCCGCCGCCUGGGAAGUACGGUCGCAAGACUGAAACUUAAAGGAAUU